AUUGAACGCUGGCGGCAGGCUUAACACAUGCAAGUCGAGCGGAGAUGAGGUGCUUGCACCUUAUCUUAGCGGCGGACGGGUGAGUAAUGCUUAGGAAUCUGCCUAUUAGUGGGGGACAACAUUCCGAAAGGAAUGCUAAUACCGCAUACGUCCUACGGGAGAAAGCAGGGGAUCUUCGGACCUUGCGCUAAUAGAUGAGCCUAAGUCGGAUUAGCUAGUUGGUGGGGUAAAGGCCUACCAAGGCGACGAUCUGUAGCGGGUCUGAGAGGAUGAUCCGCCACACUGGGACUGAGACACGGCCCAGACUCCUACGGGAGGCAGCAGUGGGGAAUAUUGGACAAUGGGGGGAACCCUGAUCCAGCCAUGCCGCGUGUGUGAAGAAGGCCUUAUGGUUGUAAAGCACUUUAAGCGAGGAGGAGGCUACUGAGACUAAUACUCUUGGAUAGUGGACGUACUCGCAGAUA
rnacentral:rRNA from 1 species